ensembl:lncRNA
CAUUGCUCUUCUGAAGAAGAAUAUAAAAGCAUAUUGAUUUGCAGCCUGUGUGGAAAGUCAUAUCAAGGCACCACUCCUGAUGUUGAAUAGCCGAAGGACAAGUCUAUGGUGGAAGUGAUGAAAGCAUUAGAAUAUUGUGCAAUGAGAGACAACUCGUACAAAUUGAUCUAUUUGAAAAAAAAAUAAUGUUUUUUACCAUUUACAUCAAGGCUGAUGUCAAAUAAAUAGUCUUCACAGCCUUCGCUAACACCUGUCUCCCCUCCUAACACACUCACACAAAAUUCCGGAUCCAACCCAGCCUCUGUUCAAGGUCAACAGGUCAACCGCAGACACGGCCACUGUGAACAUCUGGAAAGAACUGUGUGAAAUCUGCAAAAUACAUCAUACAGUUUUGAAACACCUUGAAAGCAGGAAGGGACGAGGAGACGCUGGCAAAUACUUUGACGGAGUUUAUGCAAGAAACAAGGCGCCAACGAACACAGGAACAUCAGGGAUGACAAUUAACAACAGACAAGGGAGAACAGAACGGGCUAGAACUAAAAAGGGCAGAUAACGAGGGGCAGACAGGUGAGGAGGAUCACUGAUAAUGAGACACAAAUGGAGACGAAUUCAAAUGACAAGGACAGGCACAGGAAGGACCAAAUAAGGACAACAGGAACUAAGACCGGGGUAAAACAAGAAAACUAAAGUCCACAACACUGCUAAAGGACCAUUUACAAACCUAUGUUUUUAAAAAAUAAACAUAACUUGUUCUUGUUCCUGUUGUCUUUG